rnacentral:rRNA from 1 species
GGAAUAUUGGACAAUGGGCGCAAGCCUGAUCCAGCCAUGCCGCGUGAAGGAUGAAGGCCCUAUGGGUCGUAAACUUCUUUUAUACGGGAAAAAACCCCCCGAUGCGUCGGGGGUUGAUGGUACUGUAAGAAUAACGGUCGGCUAACUUCGUGCCAGCAGCCGCGGUAAUACGAAGGACCCAAGCGUUACCCGGAUUUAUUGGGUUUAAAGGGUGCGUAGGCGGACUAAUAAGUCAGUGGUGAAAGCCUGAUGCUUAACAUCAGAAUUGCCAUUGAUACUGUUAGUCUUGAGUAUGGUUGAGGUGGGCGGAAUGUGUCAUGUAGCGGUGAAAUGCUUAGAUAUGACACAGAACACCAAUUGCGAAGGCAGCUCGCUAAACCAUAACUGACGCUGAGGCACGAAAGCGUGGGGAGCAAA